GUCUAUCCUGCCCACUGAGAGAGUUGAAGGGCCGCGGUAAAUUAACUGUGCAAAGGUAGCAUAAUCAUUAGUUUUUUAAUUGAAGGCUUGUAUGAAUGGUUGGACAAGAAUUAAACUGUCUUUGUAUUUGGGAUUUAAUUUUACUUUUGAGUGAAAAGGCUUAAAUAAUUUUAAGGGACGAUAAGACCCUAUAAAUCUUUAUGAUAAAAUUUCUGAUUAUUAAAAUAAAUAGUUAAAAUAUUAGUUAGGGAUAAAAUCAUUGUACUGGGGCGGUAAUAAUAUAUAAAUAAACUGUUAAAUAUUUUUACAAAGUUGUUUGUAGAGUAAAAGGUCUUAAAUAAGAAUAUAAAGUUCAAGUUACUUUAGGGAUAACAGCAUAAUUUUUCUUGAGAGUUCUAAUCGAGAGAAAAUUUUGUGACCUCGAUGUUGAAUUAAAAUUUCUAUAUGGUGCAGAAGUUAUAAGUAGAGUAGUCUGUUCGACUAUUAAAAUUUUACAUGAUUUG
rnacentral:rRNA from 1 species